GGACGGGUUAGUAACGCGUGGGAACGUGCCCAGAUCUACGGAAUAGCCACUGGAAACGGUGAGUAAUACCGUAUACGCCCUUCGGGGGAAAGAUUUAUCGGAUUUGGAUCGGCCCGCGUUAGAUUAGGUAGUUGGUGGGGUAACGGCCUACCAAGCCUACGAUCUAUAGCUGGUUUUAGAGGAUGAUCAGCAACACUGGGACUGAGACACGGCCCAGACUCCUACGGGAGGCAGCAGUGGGGAAUCUUGGACAAUGGGGGCAACCCUGAUCCAGCCAUGCCGCGUGAGUGAAGAAGGCCCUAGGGUCGUAAAACUCUUUCGCCUGUGAUGAUAAUGACAGUAGCAGGUAAAGAAACCCCGGCUAACUCCGUGCCAGCAGCCGCGGUAAUACGGAGGGGGUUAGCGUUGUUCGGAAUUACUGGGCGUAAAGCGCACGUAGGCGGAUUAGAAAGUUAGAGGUGAAAUCCCGGGGCUCAACCCCGGAACUGCCUUUAAAACUACUAGUCUAGAGUUCGAGAGAGGUGAGUGGAAUUCCGAGUGUAGAGGUGAAAUUCGUAGAUAUUCGGAGGAACACCAGUGGCG
rnacentral:rRNA from 1 species